rnacentral:SRP_RNA from 1 species
CCGCGCUAGACGGGGAGCUAGCGGUGCCCUGAACCCGAAAUCCGCUUAUGCGGGGUUGAAUUCCUUUUUGAGGGCUCAACUUAAAAGGUAACUAGUUUUAUGUUGAAAAGGGUCUGACUUUGCGCAACAGACGGUUACGAACCCCGUCAGGUCCGGAAGGAAGCAGCGGUAAGUAAUGCGGUUUGUGUCGUAAAUGCUUCGGGUCUUACUUUCACUUAAGGCCAAGUCCUUUCAAGACCGGCUCGAUUAAAAGGUGCGCGG